rnacentral:piRNA from 1 species
UAUCUGGGGCUUUCUUAUUCAUCUACUUUA